AGUUGAAGUGCAUCACUGUGAAUGAGCCCCCAAAGCUAGUGGGCCUGGAUCUCAUGGGCAAGUUAUUUACUUGAUACUAUACAUUAAUGUUUGCAUUUGGAAACUGUUUGCAUGUACAAAAUGUUUAUAUUUUGCACAGGUCCAUAUCCAGAAACAGCCAGGGGCCACAGGUACAUUUUGACAUUCACAGAUUACUUUACCAAGUUCAUGGAUUUCUUCCUUUUGUCAAGAAAAAGUGCCCAGGAUGUGGCAAAGGGAAUCAAAACAUAAGUCUGUCGAUGGGAUGCACCUGCUCGUCUUCUUUCGGACCAGGGUAGGGAGUUUGUGGCAGAGGUGAACACUGCUGUUUGUGCCGAGUUUGGCAUCAAACGCAGUGUCACUUCUGCCUGCUACCCCCAAACCAAUAGUCUCGACAUGAGG